UACAGAGGUCUCAAGCGUUGUUCGGAUUUAUUGGGCGUAAAGGGCUCGUAGGCGGUUUGUCGCGUCGGGAGUGAAAUCCACUGGCUUAACUGGUGGCUUGCUUUCGAUACGGGCAGACUGGAGUACUGCAGGGGAGACUGGAAUUCCUGGUGUAGCGGUGGAAUGCGCAGAUAUCAGGAGGAACACCGGUGGCGAAGGCGGGUCUCUGGGCAGUAACUGACGCUGAGGAGCGAAAGCGUGGGGAGCGAACAGG
rnacentral:rRNA from 1 species